CCCUAAGAUAGCGCAUGGCCAAAGGAUGAGAACGCAUUGUCUUCCCUCCUUCUCGAUGAGGGCUCCAAGUCCACUCUGAGCUCCAGCGGACCACAGAGCCUGGUCAGUAAGUCUGCCCCUGGCAUCUCUGGAUGACUUCUAGCUUGAGGGGCUCCGUGGUCUCAGCGGGGCCUCUCUCCCCGGAUUUAUUUCUAUUUAUUUCCCAAGCAGGUGGAAUACACUAGGGACCCUGAGUUUUCGCUGGAUCGGUGACAACAUGAUUUGACUAACUGGAUAAUCAAGUUAUUAUUCAAGGUAUUACCUCUUUAUACUUCAAUUUUCUCAUCUAUAGAAGUGGUGGACUAGAUAAUACGUAACAUACACUAACUACUUUCUAUAGUAAAUUGUGUUCUUGUGAACAGCAAGCUAAAGAUAAGAAUUUACAUCUCAUGCAUCUUUGUACCCUAUAAUAGCUAUUAUAGCCAUG
ensembl:lncRNA